AGUUUAAUGAUGAUUGUCUUUUUUGAUUGCUUCUUAAAGCAAUGUGAAAAACACAUUUCACCGGCUCUGAAAGCU